rnacentral:rRNA from 1 species
UACGGGGGGGGCAAGCGUUGUUCGGAAUUACUGGGCGUAAAGGGCUCGUAGGUGGUCAACUAAGUCGGACGUGAAAUCCCUCGGCUUAACCGGGGAACUGCGUCCGAUACUGGAUGACUUGAGUUCGGGAGAGGGAUGCGGAAUUCCAGGUGUAGCGGUGAAAUGCGUAGAUAUGUCAUAGAACACCGAUUGCGAAGGCAGCUAACGAAACUGUAACUGACACUGAGGCUCGAAAGUGCGGGGAUCAAACAGG